CGGAGCGUAGCGCAGUCUGGUAGCGCACCUGCUUCGGGAGCAGGGGGUCGGAGGUUCAAAUCCUCUCGCUCCGACCA
rnacentral:tRNA from 3 species